CCCGCUGAACUUAAGCAUAUCAAUAAGCGGAGGAAAAGAAACUAACAAGGAUUCCCCUAGUAACUGCGAGUGAAGCGGGAAAAGCUCAAAUUUAAAAUCUGGCGGUCUUGCAGCCGUCCGAGUUGUAAUCUGGAGAAGCGUUUAUCCGCGUCGGACCGUGUACAAGUCUUCUGGAAGGGAGCGUCGUAGAGGGUGAGAAUCCCGUCUUUGACACGGACAACCGGUGCUUUUGUGAUGCGCUCUCGAAGAGUCGAGUUGUUUGGGAAUGCAGCUCAAAAUGGGUGGUAAAUUCCAUCUAAAGCUAAAUAUUGGCGAGAGACCGAUAGCGAACAAGUACCGUGAGGGAAAGAUGAAAAGCACUUUGGAAAGAGAGUUAAACAGUACGUGAAAUUGUUGAAAGGGAAACGUUUGAAGUCAGUCGCGUCGGCCGAGACUCAACCUUGCUUCUGCUCGGUGCACUUCUCGGUUGACGGGUCAGCAUCAAUUUUGACCGCCGGAUAAAGGUCGGGGGAAUGUGGCAUCCUUCGGGAUGUGUUAUAGACCUCGAUUCGGAUACGGCGAUUGGGAUUGAGGAACUCGGCGCUUUGCGUCCAGGAUGCUGGCGUAAUGGUUGUAAGCGACCCGUCUUGAAACACGG
rnacentral:rRNA from 1 species